GUCUAGAAGUCCUUGGGAUAAUCUACCAGACAUGAUUGGUCUAGAAGUCUUUGGGAUAUUCUACCAGACAUGAUUGGUCUAGAAGUCCUUGGGAUAUUCUACCAAACAUGAUUGGUCUAUCAGACAUGAUUGGUCUAGAAGUCUUUGGGAUAUUCUACCAGACAUGAUUGGUCUAGAAGUCCUUGGGAUAAUCUACCAGACAUGAUUGGUCUAUCAGACAUGAUUGGUCUAGAAGUCCUUGGGAUAUUCUACCAGACAUGAUUGGUCUAGAAGUCCUUGGGAUAAUCUACCAGACAUGAUUGGUCUAGAAGUCCUUGGGAUAAUCUACCAGACAUGAUUGGUCUAGAAGUCUUUGGGAUAUUCUACCAGACAUGAUUGGUCUAGAAGUCCUUGGGAUAAUCUACCAGACAUGAUUGGUCUAAAGGUCCUUGGGAUAAUCUACCAGACAUGAUUGGUCUAGAAGUCUUUGGGAUAAUCUACCAGACAUGAUUGGUCUAGAAGUCCUUGGGAUAUUCUAUCAGACAUGAUUGGUCUAGAAGUCCUUGGGAUAAUCUACCAGACAUGAUUGGUCUAGAAGUCCUUGGGAUAAUCUACCAGACAUGAUUGGUCUAGAAGUCCUUGGGAUAAUCUACCAGACAUGAUUGGUCUAGAAGUCUUUGGGAUAUUCUACCAGACAUGAUUGGUCUAGAAGUCCUUGGGAUAAUCUACCAGACAUGAUUGGUCUAGAAGUCCUUGGGAUAAUCUAUCAGACAUGAUUGGUCUAGAAGUCCUUGGGAUAAUCUACCAGACAUGAUUGGUCUAGAAGUCUUUGGGAUAUUCUACCAGACAUGAUUGGUCUAGAAGUCCUUGGGAUAAUCUACCAGACAUGAUUGGUCUAGAAGUCCUUGGGAUAAUCUACCAAACAUGAUUGGUCUAUCAGACAUGAUUGGUCUAGAAGUCUUUGGGAUAUUCUACCAGACAUGAUUGGUCUAGAAGUCCUUGGGAUAAUCUACCAGACAUGAUUGGUCUAGAAGUCCUUGGGAUAAUCUACCAGACAUGAUUGGUCUAUCAGACAUGAUUGGUCUAGAAGUCUUUGGGAUAUUCUACCAGACAUGAUUGGUCUAGAAGUCCUUUGGGAUAUUCUACCAGACAUGAUUGGUCUAGAAGUCUUUGGGAUAUUCUACCAGACAUGAUUGGUCUAGAAGUCCUUGGGAUAAUCUACCAGACAUGAUUGGUCUAGAAGUCCUUGGGAUAAUCUACCAGACAUGAUUGGUCUAGAAGUCUUUGGGAUAUUCUACCAGACAUGAUUGGUCUAGAAGUCCUUGGGAUAUUCUACCAGACAUGAUUGGUCUAGAAAUCCUUGGGAUAUUCUAUCAGACAUGAUUGGUCUAGAAGUCUUUGGGAUAUUCUACCAGACAUGAUUGGUCUAGAAGUCCUUGGGAUAUUCUAUCAGACAUGAUUGGUCUAGAAGUCCUUGGGAUAUUCUAUCAGACAUGAUUGGUCUAGAAGUCCUUGGGAUAAUCUACCAGACAUGAUUGGUCUAGAAGUCCUUGGGAUAUUCUAUCAGACAUAUAGUGACAGAUCUAAACUCUGAUAAGUUGUGGUAUGGAACUGUAUCAGCACUCAGAAAUCAGUUUUACACAGAAACAUCUUACCUGCCAUGGAAUCAUUCACCAAUCAGUAUGUUUUGACAGAAGGCCGUGCCAGAUGCAGUAUAACUCUGAUCUUAGAUCCAACUAGACACACUGUAUACAGCGCCUUCAGGAAGUCUUCACACCCCUGGACUUUUUACACAUGUUGUGUUACAGCCUGAAUUUAAAAUGGAUUCAAUGUCACUGGCCUACACACAAUAAUACCCCAUAAUGUCAA